GAACAAAAUGGUGGUGGAAGAGGGUGUGGGGAAGGGAAACAUUGGGUGCCUUCAUGUGCGCUUCGCACAGAGUAAUGCCAACUGCCUGUUUCCCUUUCCCACACCCUCUUCUACCGCCAUUUUGUUCCU
rnacentral:pre_miRNA from 1 species